rnacentral:rRNA from 1 species
UGGGGAAUUUUGGACAAUGGGCGCAAGCCUGAUCCAGCCAUGCCGCGUGCGGGAAGAAGGCCUUCGGGUUGUAAACCGCUUUUGUCAGGGAAGAAAUCUUCUGAGUUAAUACCUCGGGAGGAUGACGGUACCUGAAGAAUAAGCACCGGCUAACUACGUGCCAGCAGCCGCGGUAAUACGUAGGGUGCAAGCGUUAAUCGGAAUUACUGGGCGUAAAGCGUGCGCAGGCGGUUUUGUAAGACAGAGGUGAAAUCCCCGGGCUCAACCUGGGAACUGCCUUUGUGACUGCAAGGCUUGAGUGCGGCAGAGGGGGAUGGAAUUCCGCGUGUAGCAGUGAAAUUGCGUAGAUAUGCGGAGGAACACCGAUAGCGAAGGCAAUCCCCUGGGCCUGCACUGACGCUCAUGCACGAAAGCGUGGGGAGCAAACAGGACUAGAUACCCUGGUAGUCCACGCCCUAAACGACGUCAACUGGUUGUUGGGAAGGUUCCUUCUCAGUAACGUAGCUAACGCGUGAAGUUGACCGCCUGGGGAGUACGGCCGCAAGGUUG